rnacentral:rRNA from 1 species
UCUUAAAAUUUAGUUUAAUAAAUUUAUUAAACUAAAUUUUUAAUUGGGGUGAUUAUAAAAUUAAUUAAACUUUUAUAGUUUAAGUUCAUAAAUAAAUGAUUAUUUUUGAUAUUAAUUAUAAAUAUUUAGAAUAAGU